GCCUACGGGAGGCAGCAGUGGGGAAUAUUGCACAAUGGGGGGAACCCUGAUGCAGCAAUGCCGCGUGGGUGAAGAAGCACUCCGGUGCGUAAAGCCCUGUCAGCAGGGAAGAAAAUGACAGUACCUGGACAAGAAGCCCCGGCUAACUACGUGCCAGCAGCCGCGGUAAUACGUAGGGAGCAAGCGUUAUCCGGAUUUACUGGGUGUAAAGGGCGUGUAGGCGGGCCUGUAAGUCAGAAGUGAAAUCUGGGGGCUUAACCCCCAAACUGCUUUUGAAACUGCGGGUCUUGAGUGCUGGAGAGGCG
rnacentral:rRNA from 1 species